CGGGGCGUAGCGCAGUCUGGUAGCGCACCUGCUUUGGGAGCAGGGGGUCGGAGGUUCGAAUCCUCUCGCCCCGA
rnacentral:tRNA from 2 species